GCCUGGGCCCGCCCGCCCUCCGGGGCCCGGCUCCGCGCCGCCCUCCGCCCCGCCCGGCCGCCCGGCCUCCCGGCAAGAUGGCAACCCCGGCGGCGGUCAACCCUCCCGAAAUGGCUUCAGACAUCCCUGGAUCGGUGACAUUGCCUGUUGCCCCCAUGGCGGCCACGGGACAGGUGAGGAUGGCGGGAGCCAUGCCCGCCCGUGGAGGAAAGCGGCGUUCCGGGCUGGACUUUGACGACGAAGACGGAGAAGGACCCAGCAAAUUUUCCAGAGAGAACCACAGCGAGAUCGAGCGGCGGCGGAGGAACAAGAUGACCCAGUACAUCACGGAGCUGUCGGACAUGGUGCCCACGUGCAGCGCGCUGGCCCGGAAGCCGGACAAGCUGACCAUCCUCCGCAUGGCCGUGUCGCACAUGAAGUCCAUGAGGGGCACAGGGAACAAGUCCACAGACGGCGCCUACAAGCCGUCGUUCCUGACGGAGCAGGAGCUGAAGCACCUCAUCCUGGAAGCAGCCGAUGGCUUUCUGUUUGUAGUGGCGGCAGAGACGGGACGGGUCAUUUACGUGUCUGACUCCGUCACCCCUGUGCUGAACCAGCCCCAGUCAGAGUGGUUUGGGAGCACCCUGUACGAGCAGGUGCACCCCGACGAUGUGGAGAAGCUGAGAGAGCAGCUCUGCACCUCCGAAAACUCCAUGACAGGCCGGAUCCUGGACCUGAAGACGGGGACGGUGAAGAAAGAGGGACAGCAGUCCUCCAUGAGGAUGUGCAUGGGCUCGCGGAGGUCCUUCAUUUGCAGGAUGAGGUGUGGGAACGCUCCUUUGGACCACCUGCCGCUGAACAGAAUAACCACCAUGAGGAAAAGGUUCAGGAACGGCCUUGGCCCCGUGAAAGACGGGGAGGCCCAGUACGCCGUGGUGCACUGCACGGGUUACAUCAAGGCGUGGCCCCCCGCAGGGAUGACUAUACCCGAGGAGGACGCGGACGUGGGGCAGGGCAGCAAGUACUGCCUCGUGGCCAUCGGAAGACUCCAGGUGACCAGCUCUCCCGUGUGCAUGGACAUGAGCGGGGUCUCGGUGCCCACAGAGUUCUUAUCCCGACACAGCUCUGAUGGGGUCAUCACGUUCGUGGACCCCCGGUGCAUCAGCGUGGUUGGCUACCAACCCCAGGAUCUCCUCGGAAAGGACAUUUUGGAAUUCUGCCACUCGGAGGAUCAGAGCCACCUGCGCGAGAGCUUCCAGCAGGUGGUCAAACUGAAGGGCCAGGUGCUGUCGGUCAUGUACCGGCUCCGCACCAAGAACCGGGAGUGGCUGUUGAUCCGCACCAGCAGCUUCACGUUCCAGAACCCCUACUCCGACGAGAUAGAGUACGUCAUCUGCACCAACACCAACGUCAAGCAGCUCCAGCAGCAGCAGGCAGAGUUGGAGGUGCACCAGAGAGAUGGGCUGUCGUCAUACGACCUGUCGCAGGUUCCUGUCCCCAACCUCCCGGCCGGUGUUCACGAGGCGGGGAAGUCCGUGGAGAAGGCCGAUGCCAUCUUCUCCCAGGAGAGAGACCCCCGGUUUGCUGAGAUGUUUGCGGGAAUCAGUGCGUCGGAGAAGAAGAUGAUGACCUCAGCCUCUGCGGCGGGAACCCAGCAGAUCUACUCCCAGGGAAGCCCGUUCCCCCCUGGACACUCGGGGAAGGCCUUCAGCUCCUCCGUGGUCCACGUGCCUGGUGUGAAUGACAUCCAGCCCUCCUCGUCAACGGGCCAGAACAUGUCCCAAAUCUCCCGACAGCUGAACCAGAGUCAGGUGGCGUGGACAGGGAGCCGGCCGCCCUUUCCCGGACAGCAAAUCCCCUCCCAGUCCGGCAAGACUCAGUCGUCUCCCUUUGGGAUUGGAACAAGCCACACGUACCCAGCAGACCCCUCUUCCUACAGCCCUCUCUCCAGCCCAGCUACGUCCUCGCCCAGCGGGAACGCCUACUCCAGUCUCGCCAGCAGGACUCCGGGGUUCGCUGAGAGCGGACAGAGCGGCGGGCAGUUCCAAGGGCGGCCCUCGGAGGUCUGGUCCCAGUGGCAGAGCCAGCACCACGGGCAGCAGAGCGGUGAGCAGCACCCCCACCAGCAGCCCGGUCAGACUGAAGUGUUCCAGGUAAAUCGAGCGAGCACCGCCUUGUCGUAGGUCUCCAGAGGGGCAGCGUUCUGACCUCCUUCCUCCGUCCUUACGCCGCACAGCAGCCACGUGGCGCAGAACUCCCCAACCCGGCUCUUCGUGGUCACGAGGCUAAAAAGAAUUCUUGGUCGAAUAAGCGCGUGAAACGCUGGUUAAGCAAAGUUGCGCGGUUUCUUGACCGCAGGACUUAUCAGAGGCUUUUAUUAUAUUAAUGAAGACUGAGGCUAUUUCAGGCGGUAGGCGGAGUGCGUAUGCCUUGUUCCCCACAACCGCUCGUCCACACAGUCCUUUUCUCCCAGAGUGUCUCACGGGCCAAGAAUUUGAGAGAACACGCCUUGGGAAAUUUUCCACAGGGGAUUGAAAUACUGGCUAUGCCCAUUGUCUGGAUGGGCACUCUGAGGCCGGCCGAACUUGAAGGGCCUGUUACAAGUGAAGCUUCAGGACGCAGGCAUUUGGCCCCGCCCCCGGAACACGCACAGCCUUGCUCCGGGCCCUGAUAGGUUCACCCCACCGAUGGGCUCCUGUGCGCCCUGCGUCCUGGCUUUACAUAAACGCGGGUUAUGUCCUGAGGCUCGGUUUACCUGCUGGGAUGACCCCGCCCCCCCAGGGGGUAGCGGCUUCCGGGUGUGGACAUCUGAGGCCCCCCUGAGACCCCUGGGCUGCCCCAAGGAAGGACAUGCUGCCCAUGCCCGGAGACCCGACCCAGGGGACCGGCAACUAUAACAUCGAGGACUUCGCGGACCUGGGCAUGUUCCCGCCCUUCUCCGAGUAGCGGCGGGCAGAGUGCGGCUGGCGCUGGGCGGCGUGGCUCCUGUCGUGACCGCGCCACCCACGCGGGCGGGGCCCCCCCCCCCCCCCCCCCCCCGCACCCUGCUUGCCCCGCCCACCCCGCCACGGUCCCCCCCAGCAGAAAGCGUCUCACCCCCGUGCUCCUCCCCUGCACAGCGCCUCUCCGCUCUGGCCCCCAGCCCGGGGCCACCGACCAGGAGCCCCGGUAGCCGUCGGGGGGCCCGUUGUAUUUAUUGUACUUUAUCUGUGUGUGCUUGGGAGGCGAGCCGACUGGGCGCCGGGAGUCUGGUUGUGAAUAAUCUCCUAGUAGACGGUUUUCGCCUAUAAAACGUUCACCUGUAGUCCAGAGUGAGUGUCCGGGACCUGCCCAGGCCUCAGGAAUUGGGUUUCUUUCCGCCUUUAACCUCCGUGGGUGGGCGGACUCGGGUGCGGGGAAGGGAGGCCAGCAGGUCGCCUGGCCUGUGUUCUCCGCGCUGGGGCCGAGCAGGCGGGGACCCAGGGCCGGACGCCAGCUCCCCUGCCCCCAGCUCAGCGGCGCCCCGACUGGAGCGAGCUUGGCCCGGGGUCCCGGUGCCCGGCUGCGGUUCCACAGCCUCGCCAGGAGUCCUGGCCGGGAGCCCACUGGCUUUAAUGCGCCGGGCUUCUGAGAGGAAGCGGCCCCCUCCUCUUCCAGGAGGCCCCGAGGACCUGGCUGCCUGGUGAGCGCGCGCCCUCGUCCCCCCCUCCAGGCCAGCGCCUCCGGGGCUGCAGAGCCCUGGGCCUUAUGUGGAGGAGCGAGCGGGGAGGCGGGACGUCCAGGCCCUCUCGUCCGGUGCCCUGCCGUGCAGGCCUGCUCCCCCAGGACCGGCCCUGGUGGCCACGUUGCAUCAGUGACCUGGAGGGGGCUCAGGUGCGGACCCGCACGGGGGCAGGAACGCGUCCCACCAGGCCCCUGAGCCUUCUCUCCUCGGCCGGCUGGGGGGCCGUGGUGUCUGGGGAGGGACGGGGUGCAGGUCUGUGAGGCAGGAGGCUGGGGCUCCCGCUCCGAUUCUGCCACACUCGCCCCGGGGCCCCGAAUUCCUCAGGUGGUCUCAGGACGCAAAGAAGAGCCCGCUUCUGGAAACUUCUGCUGGCUGACUGAGCCGUGGUCCCUGGCUGGCUGCGUUUCCCCGUCUUCGCUGACCUCGCCCCCUCCCACGCCCUGUGUGCACAGAGGCAGGCUCUCUGAGCCUCUCCUGUCCUCUUCGUGACAGCCACGCCCGGCCCCGCCGUCCCAUGGGCCCCCUGACUCCCGCCCCCGGGAAAGCCCUGCGUCCCUCCCAGGGUCCCUCAGGCAGCCCUGCUCAGGCACCUGCCUCGGACACAGCCCACGUGUCCCUCCCCUGGGAUUCCGGAAGGCCAGGCCGAGUGGAGCAGGGUCUCAGCUGCCUGAGGGCAGAGUGGGCCCAGCGUGCAGGACGGGGCCGGGAGCAGCGUCUGUGCUGACCUCUGCGAGCUGGGCAUUAAAUGCCAGCCCCGCCCGGUGUCCCUCGGGGAUCCGCGUGGCCUGUCUUGCUUGGAGAGCUUCACCUGUAACAGUCCAAUGUGGGUAGAAUACCUUUGGCGAGCAGCCAGCUCUGGGUGAUCCUGGUUCCUGGACUCUGGGUUCACACUCACUCAGCAGUUUCUAGAGCAGCUUUAACCCCUUUGCGUAUGGCGGUGAUUGAUGAUUGAGUGCCGGGUUUAGGCACACCGGGGUCAUUUUACCCUCCACACACCCUCAGAGAUGGGGACAGGUGCCGACCAGGGGGUGGUGAGGGGCAGGUGCCAGACUGGAGUGGGGGGCUUCCCAGGGCUCACUCUGCCCGGGGCCACCUCUGCCUCCAAGCCUGAGCCGACCCCGAGCCGUGUGUGUGUAAUGUUUUCUGAGAAAGGCACAAAAAGGGCUUUUGGAUCCAAGAGCGGUUGCUCUGUGAAACGAAAACAGACUUUUUUGUGGCCUUUAGCCUGUGAGUUUGGCAGAAUCGGGAAUUUCGUAUUUGUUCCUUCUGUUUUCUGGAGGGAACUAGGGGAUUCUCUGGGCUGCGCACGUCAGGGGGGCACGCCAGCUGUGACCUGGGGCCACGCUGGACGCGGAGGGGACGCGGAGGGGACGCGGGAGAGGCAGAGCAGCCUUGCCCCGGCGGCCUUCCGUCCUCUUCUGUCCCCACACCAGGGCCUGGGUUGCAGACUGCCGCGGUCCGGGUCCCGGCAGGCGAGGCCAGAGGGGCCUGAAAGCCAGUGUCAUGCAAAAUGUCAUGACUCAGGAGGCACGGCCUCCCGACCCCCCAUCCUGCUUCGUCCCAGGGACGCCCACAGGGAGCCUGACUGCAGUCCGAUGGGCCGGCCUGAGCUCUGCGUCCUCUCUCCUCCACCUCCCGCUUUCUGGUUGUGAUUCUUGGAAGCCAUCAUGUGGCCAGUGGGAAAACAGGACUGGAAGGAUCUCAUGCCCCAGAGACUCUUCCCCCAAGGAAUCUUGAGGCCGGCCAGGGUAAGAGUUGAAGCCCUACAGGGCCUCACUGUCCCGCUUGGGAACAGGCCCGCCCAGCCAGCAGGGGACCCUGCGAGGCCCCGGCCCAGACGCCUCUCCCGCGGCAGACUCGGCCCAGCCUGGGCUGGGGCUUCGGCCGUGACUCGCUCUGCCGCUCAAACCUCCUCUCCCCUGUGAGACCCUCCCGGGCUCCCCCACGGAGCGGGCCGGGCCGUGGCUGCCUGCGCCUUGCGGGAGGACACGAAGCAGCCACGUCGAGGCUCAACCGGGACUUGGCUGGUGACUGUGGCCGUGGCUAGGGAGGUUCUAGAACACUACGGAUGUGUCACUAGGGAGCUGGUUUUGUUUCUAGCUAUGGCGUCAGGGAGUGACAGAGCCGUCACAAACGUCACGUUCCUCCUCUGCUUCCCGAUGUUUUCAAUCCAGCCCCUUUGCUGUUUCGUGAAUACCGUGCAGAGAGUUGGCGGGGGCGGGGCGGGGGGCGGUUCUCUUAGUCGGAACUUAAUCAGGGAGCGUGGACUCCAGUAAAGAGACAGUGUCUCCCCCAUUUAGCCACAUGUGACACAAGGGAUGGGGCAGGUCCCAGGAAAGUGAGUGCCGGUCCCCGAGCGCAUCAGCACCUGGGGGCAGGGACCGCGACAGCCACUCCCCUGGCCCGCCUGCUCCCUGAUGGUUGUGACCCGUCUCCGAGCAAGACCGAGCCUGCUGCCUCGCGGACGCUCUAGCGAGUCACGAGUCAGGACAGAAGUGCCAGAAACUACGAGUUUGGUCAGUACUUGCCAAGGGGGCCCGUUGUCUCCUCCCUCCGCCACAUCCCCGCCCCGCCUCGUGUACUGGGGGGCCACGAGCCACCUGGCUGUCCACCUGUUAUCGACGGCCGGGGGUCUGGGACAACGUGGAGAGGCAGCGCACCGCGGGGCAGGCACCUGUCCACUUCUAGAGUGCCCGGGUCUGGUGGCCAAAGCUAGUUCGGCGGUCCGGCCACCGGCCAGAGCCCGCGUGGGCGGCACCGACCGCGAAGACCAGGGCUCGCUGGGCCAGGCCUCUUCCUUCAUAGACAAGGGCUUCUCAGACGGGCGUCCGUGGACAAGUCGAGCACUUAAUCGUUUCUCUUGUAGCCUUUCUUCUUAUGGAUGUGAGCCGUGCUGUGGAUAAAUCAUCGUCUGUAUUUCUUGAAUGUUCUCUAUGACUAACGGUUAUUGAGUUGGUUGUGUAUAUGUAUAACUAAUGUAACUGCCUUUUAAAAUUUCAUUACAAUAAAAAUGACUUUGCU